UAGGGAAUAUUGGUGAAUGGGCGAAAGCCUGAACCAGCAACGCCGCGUGUGCGAUGAAGGCCUUCGGGUUGUAAAGCACUUUUCUACCGGGAAGAGGAAGGACGGUACCGGUGGAAUAAGCCUCGGCUAACUACGUGCCAGCAGCCGCGGUAAAACGUAGGAGGCGAGCGUUAUCCGGAUUUACUGGGUGUAAAGCGCGUGCAGGCGGGUCGGUAAGUUGGGUGUGAAAGCUCCUGGCUCAACUGGGAGAGGUCGCUCAAGACUGCCGGUCUAGAGAGUGGUAAGGGAAGGUGGAAUUCCGGGUGUAGUGGUGAAAUGCGUAGAUAUCCGGAGGAACACCAGUGGCGAAAGCGGCCUUCUGGGCCACAUCUGACGCUCAGACGCGAAAGCUAGGGUAGCAAACGGGGAUUAGAGACCCCCGGUAGUCCUAGCCGUAAACGAUGUGAACUUGGCGCUGGGUGGGUAAAACCGUUCAGUGCCGUAGCUAACGCGAUAAGUUCACCACCUGGGGACUACGGCCGCAAG
rnacentral:rRNA from 1 species